CUAGUUGGAAUCUUCCACUUCCUGUUUGCCAGUCUGGCCUCCUACCUGGGCAGGUGUGGAUGGAGCACAUGGAACAAACAUUUGGACUCAACCCAGAGAACAGGACCUUCACAAGCAAUAACACCCUGUAGAACAUCAGGAGGAGACGCGGCCAUGAUGGUUUCUAAGACUUCACCUGAACAACAGCAACUUUGCAAAAGGAGGAGACGCGGCCAUGAUGGUUUCCAGGACUUCGCGUGAAGAGGAGGAUCUUCGCGCUGCAGAAACCACGGGGAGGACACGGCCCCCCCCGCGCCUGCUACCACAGGACCCACUCCGAUGAUCCAGGCCCCCGACAACGGGCGGGAUUCGAACCAAUCUCCUGCAACUUCCAGCCGCGGUUGAACCACCACACGCCACCGAGAACCCCUCACACUUGGACCUUCUCUCUGAGCGCUUUUGUCAUCGUCACUUUGGAAUCUGGACUUUAAAAGUCACGACUGUCAUAACAUUUGAACCCAUGACUUCACACUCACCAUAGACUCUUCUAACAGUCUGAGCUAUUUGUCCACAGGUUCCUCCUCUUUCUUGGAGAUUUUCAGUCUCUACUUUGAGUGUUGGACUCUAAAAUUCAUAGACUACGAUAAGAGUUGAACCCACGUCUUCAGAAC